rnacentral:rRNA from 1 species
ACGGAAGGCAGCAGUGGGGAAUAUUGCACAGUGGGGGAAACCCUGAUGCAGCGACGCCGCGUGAGUGAAGAAGUUAUUCGUAAUGUAAAGCUCUAUCAGCAGGGAAGAAAAUGACGGUACCUGACUAAGAAGCCCCGGCUAACUACGUGCCAGCAGCCGCGGUAAUACGUAGGGGGCAAGCGUUAUCCGGAUUUACUGGGUGUAAAGGGAGCGUAGACGGUCUAGCAAGUCUGAUGUGAAAGGCAGGGGCUCAACUCCUGGACUGCAUUGGAAACUGUUAGUCUUGAGUGUCGGAGAGGUAAGCGGAAUUCCUAGUGUAGCGGUGAAAUGCGUAGAUAUUAGGAGGAACACCAGUGGCGAAGGCGGCUUACUGGACGAUAACUGACGUUGAGGCUCGAAAGCGUGGGGAGCAAACAGGAUUAGAUACCCUGGUA